rnacentral:rRNA from 1 species
GACGAACGCUGGCGGCGUGCUUAACACAUGCAAGUCGAGCGGAAAGGCCCUUCGGGGUACUCGAGCGGCGAACGGGGGAGUAACACGUGAGGAAUCUGCCCUUGGCGUGGGGAUAACUACCGGAAACGGUGGCUAAUACCGGAUACGAAAACCGUCUGCAUGGGCUGGGUGUGGAAAGUUUUUUCGGCCAGGGAUGUGCUCGCGGCCUAUCAGCUUGUUGGUGGGGUAAUGGCCUACCAAGGCUUCGACGGGUAGCCGGCCUGAGAGGCUGACCGGCCACACUGGGACUCAGACACGGACGAGACUCCGACGGGAGGAAGCAGUGGCGAAUAUUGGACACUGGGCGGAAGCCUGCUCCAGCCACGCCGCGUGCGGGAUGACGGCAUUCGGGUUGUAUACCUCUUUCAGUACCGCCGAAGAGUCGAUGAUGGUGGUGACGGUAGGUACAGAAGAAGCACCGGCCAACUACGUG